rnacentral:rRNA from 1 species
GGGGGGGGCGUCCUGGCAAGGUUUCCGUAGGUGAACCUGCGGAAGGAUCAUUG